rnacentral:rRNA from 1 species
CCAGCUUGCUGGAUGCUGACGAGCGGCGGACGGGUGAGUAAUGCAUAGGAAUCUGCCCGAUAGUGGGGGAUAACCUGGGGAAACCCAGGCUAAUACCGCAUACGUCCUACGGGAGAAAGGGGGCUCCGGCUCCCGCUAUGGGAUGAGCCUAUGUCGGAUUAGCUAGUUGGUGAGGUAACGGCUCACCAAGGCCACGAUCCGUAGCUGGUCUGAGAGGAUGAUCAGCCACAUCGGGACUGAGACACGGCCCGAACUCCUACGGGAGGCAGCAGUGGGGAAUAUUGGACAAUGGGGGAAACCCUGAUCCAGCCAUGCCGCGUGUGUGAAGAAGGCCCUCGGGUUGUAAAGCACUUUCAGCGAGGAAGAACGCCUAGCGGUUAAUACCCGCUAGGAAAGACAUCACUCGCAGAAGAAGCACCGGCUAACUCCGUGCCAGCAGCCGCGGUAAUACGGAGGGUGCAAGCGUUAAUCGGAAUUACUGGGCGUAAAGCGCGCGUAGGUGGCUUGAUAAGCCGGUUGUGAAAGCCCCGGGCUCAACCUGGGAACGGCAUCCGGAACUGUCGAGCUAGAGUGCAGGAGAGGAAGGUAGAAUUCCCGGUGUAGCGGUGAAAUGCGUAGAGAUCGGG